CCUACGGGUGGCAGCAGUAGGGAAUCUUCCACAAUGGGCGAAAGCCUGAUGGAGCAACGCCGCGUGGGUGAAGAAGGUCUUCGGAUCGUAAAACCCUGUUGUUAGAGAAGAAAGUGCGUGAGAGUAACUGUUCACGUUUCGACGGUAUCUAACCAGAAAGCCACGGCUAACUACGUGCCAGCAGCCGCGGUAAUACGUAGGUGGCAAGCGUUAUCCGGAUUUAUUGGGCGUAAGGGGAACGCAGGCGGUCUUUUAAGUCUGAUGUGAAAGCCUUCGGCUUAACCGGAGUAGUGCAUUGGAAGCUGGGAGACUGGAGUGCAGAAGAGGAGAGUGGAACUCAAGGUGGAGUGGUGAAGUGCGGAGAUAUAUGGAAGCACAGCAGUGGCGAAAGCGGCUCUCGGGUCUGUAACUGACGCUGAGGUUCGAAAGCGUGGGUAGCAAACAGGAUUAGAUACCCGGGGAGUC
rnacentral:rRNA from 1 species